rnacentral:rRNA from 1 species
GACGAACGCUGGCGGCGUGCUUAACACAUGCAAGUCGAACGGAAAGGCCCUGCUUUUGUGGGGUGCUCGAGUGGCGAACGGGUGAGUAACACGUGAGUAACCUGCCCUUGACUUUGGGAUAACUUCAGGAAACUGGGGCUAAUAUCGGAUAGGAGCUCCUGCUGCAUGGUGGGGGUUGGAAAGUUUCGGCGGUUGGGGAUGGACUCGCGGCUUAUCAGCUUGUUGGUGGGGUAGUGGCUUACCAAGGCUUUGACGGGUAGCCGGCCUGAGAGGGUGACCGGCCACAUUGGGACUGAGAGACGGCCCAGACGCCUACGGGAGGCAGCAGUGGGGAAUAUUGCACAAUGGGCGGAAGCCUGAUGCAGCAACGCCGCGUGCGGGAUGACGGCCUUCGGGUUGUAAACCGCUUUCGCCUGUGACGAAGCGUGAGUGACGGUAAUGGGUAAAGAAGCACCGGCUAACUACGUG